GGCUCAGGACGAACGCUGGCGGCGUGCUUAACACAUGCAAGUCGAACGGAAAGGCCCUUUCGGGGGUGCUCGAGUGGCGAACGGGUGAGUAACACGUGGGUGAUCUGCCCUGCACUUUGGGAUAAGCCUGGGAAACUGGGUCUAAUACCGAAUAUGAUCACGGGCUUCAUGGUCUGUGGUGGAAAGCUUUUGCGGUGUGGGAUGGGCCCGCGGCCUAUCAGCUUGUUGGUGGGGUAAUGGCCUACCAAGGCGACGACGGGUAGCCGGCCUGAGAGGGUGUCCGGCCACACUGGGACUGAGAUACGGCCCAGACUCCUACGGGAGGCAGCAGUGGGGAAUAUUGCACAAUGGGCGCAAGCCUGAUGCAGCGACGCCGCGUGAGGGAUGACGGCCUUCGGGUUGUAAACCUCUUUCAGCAGGGACGAAGCGCAAGUGACGGUACCUGUAGAAGAAGCACCGGCCAACUACGUGCCAGCAGCCGCGGUAAUACGUAGGGUGCGAGCGUUGUCCGGAAUUACUGGGCGUAAAGAGCUCGUAGGUGGUUUGUCGCGUUGUUCGUGAAAACUCACAGCUUAACUGUGGGCGUGCGGGCGAUACGGGCAGACUGGAGUACUGCAGGGGAGACUGGAAUUCCUGGUGUAGCGGUGGAAUGCGCAGAUAUCAGGAGGAACACCGGUGGCGAAGGCGGGUCUCUGGGCAGUAACUGACGCUGAGGAGCGAAAGCGUGGGGAGCGAACAGGAUUAGAUACCUGGUAGUCACGCCGUAAACGGUGGGUACUAGGUGUGGGUUUCCUUCCUUGGGAUCCGUGCCGUAGCUAACGCAUUAAGUACCCCGCCUGGGGAGUACGGCCGCAAGGCUAAAACUCAAAGAAAUUGACGGGGGCCCGCACAAGCGGCGGAGCAUGUGGAUUAAUUCGAUGCAACGCGAAGAACCUUACCUGGGUUUGACAUGCACAGGACGCCGGCAGAGAUGUCGGUUCCCUUGUGGCCUGUGUGCAGGUGGUGCAUGGCUGUCGUCAGCUCGUGUCGUGAGAUGUUGGGUUAAGUCCCGCAACGAGCGCAACCCUUGUCUCAUGUUGCCAGCACGUAAUGGUGGGGACUCGUGAGAGACUGCCGGGGUCAACUCGGAGGAAGGUGGGGAUGACGUCAAGUCAUCAUGCCCCUUAUGUCCAGGGCUUCACACAUGCUACAAUGGCCGGUACAAAGGGCUGCGAUGCCGUGAGGUGGAGCGAAUCCUUUCAAAGCCGGUCUCAGUUCGGAUCGGGGUCUGCAACUCGACCCCGUGAAGUCGGAGUCGCUAGUAAUCGCAGAUCAGCAACGCUGCGGUGAAUACGUUCCCGGGCCUUGUACACACCGCCCGUCACGUCAUGAAAGUCGGUAACACCCGAAGCCGGUGGCCUAACCCUUGUGGAGGGAGCCGUCGAA
rnacentral:rRNA from 1 species